GACGAACCGUACGAACGUUAUUCGGAAUCACUGGGCUUAAAGGGUGCGUAGGCGGUCCGGAAAGUUGGGUGUGAAAGCCCUCGGCUCAACCGAGGAAUUGCGCCCAAAACUACCGGACUUGAGGGAGACAGAGGUAAGCGGAACUUAGGGUGGAGCGGUGAAAUGCGUUGAUAUCCUAAGGAACACCAGGAGCGAAAGCGGCUUACUGGGUCUCUUCUGACGCUGAGGCACGAAAGCUAGGGGAGCGAACGGG
rnacentral:rRNA from 1 species